rnacentral:rRNA from 1 species
UACGAAGGGGGCUAGCGUUGCUCGGAAUCACUGGGCGUAAAGCGCACGUAGGCGGAUUGUUAAGUCAGGGGUGAAAUCCUGGAGCUCAACUCCAGAACUGCCUUUGAUACUGGCGAUCUUGAGUCCGGGAGAGGUGAGUGGAACUGCGAGUGUAGAGGUGAAAUUCGUAGAUAUUCGCAAGAACACCAGUGGCGAAGGCGGCUCACUGGCCCGGUACUGACGCUGAGGUGCGAAAGCGUGGGAGCAACAGGA